CUAAGAGACAGUUAAGGAAAAAGUUGAGGUAUGGACAAAUCUUGGAAGACUUUAACUAAUGAGGCUCGGUGGAGGAGUACAAAGCAUCAAAACAUCCUGCAGGAGAAAGGUACGGCAGUAGUUCCCAAUCUAGUCCUUGGCACUAUUACUGGUGUUUCAGGUUCUAAAAAAACUUGGACGAGCAGUAAAUUGAGAACAAACAAUUGUGGUCUUUUGGAUGGCAAUGUC